AGAGGGGGGUGGAGUGGCAGGGAAGGGUGGAGGAAGUGGGGGACGGGAACUCGGUUUUCCUCUUGAGCCGACACUGCUGCUGCUGUUGCUGCUGUUACUGCUGCUGCUUACCGAGCAGGCCGAACCGGGCAGACGGCCAUAAGCCCCGCAAUAUGGCCGCCGAGACUCACCGUUAUGCCGUAGAGAGCAUCGGCGGACGGAGCCCUCGUGCCCCUUAUACAAAAGAGAGAGGCCGGACCCCCUCUGUCCCUCGGGCGUUUGAAAUUCAACCCCAAGAACACUGCUGGCCGCUCCGCUGCUGCUGCUGCUGUUACUGCUGCUGCUGGUACUCCUGCUACAGGGUUGCCAGAUUGCGUUGUCAUGGUACAUAGAAUUGCUUGAGCCGUUUAUCAAUAUAAUAUAUAUAUAUAUAUAUAUGUAUAUAUAUGUAUAUAUAUAUAUGCGUAUGUAUAUAUAUAUAUAUACAUAUAUACUCAUAACGUAUGCAUAUGUAGGCAUAUAUCAUAUCGAAACACAGAAAUACACCAAUAAUAAUCUUACAUACAAUCGAAAAAUGUCGAUUUGUGUUGUGUGUGUUAUCGGUCAUGGCAAACCGCAGACUGUGGUAAUACUCUGAACCAUGGAGAAUCCCAUGGUUACGAGACAUUAUUUCAUUUCUUAUUUUCACUUGCUUCUUUUUUCUUUGUCUUUCUUUUUCUUUUUUUUCUUUUUGGUAUUAUCUAAGCGACAUAUAUUCAACAACCAUUCUCGGUGACCCUCCUAUAACAACGUUUGACUUCAUCGUUUCUCUAUGUUAGUUACGUUUGUGAAGACUAUUAAAAUUGAACGAUCGUUUUAUGAUCGCUUAUGAGUUUCUCGUAACAUAACUCGUUAUUGAGAUUGUUUGAACAUCCCGUGUAGUAUGAUAGAAGCUACUCAUAUAUAUAUAUAUAUGAAAAACUUGUAUUAGAAAUAGUAUUAGAAAUAUUAAUAUUGUAUUACAUAUUGUUUAUUGUAUACAAAACAUUGUAUUACAAAACUCACUGAAAUACUAUAUUUAUGUAAUAUAUUUAAUAUUAGAGUAGAAUAAGAAAUAAUAAUAGAGUGUAGUAUAAUAAAUAUAAUAGUAAGAAAUGUUAUACUUACAUACACAUACACACAGACAUGAUACAGUAUUAGAAAUGCUCUAAUAGUUUUGCUUAUACUAAUACCAAUACAAAUAUUAUAUAUACAUAUAUAGUUAAACACUUUUAUAUACUCCAUUACUUUUUAAAGAGUGAUCCGUAGUUCGUUAAUUAUCCAUUGUCAGCAACAGGUCGACCUCGACAUUUACGACAAAACCUCAUUCAGAAGUUUGACCAAGGUUUGAUAAAAUAUUAUCAAAAUAAUCCGAAUGACGUAUAUGUAUACAAGGUGUUUCAAAAUUCCUAUCAAAAUUAAUUUCUCUAUAUUUAAAAACGUAUAUACGAUAUACAUGGUGUCUUCAAAUUCAUACAUUUUCUUAAAUUGAUACUUAAAUAAAUAAAGAAAGAAAAACGAAAAAAAAAGAAGUAUAGAAAACCUAAUCAAAACAACAUUCAGCAAUAAUUAAUAAAUGCUAUUGGAAAGUGAUUGACCCUCGUUAUCGGUUUUUAAUAUCCCCUUAACCAUUCCUGGACCCACCCCCUCUCGACCAUGUAUCACGUAUAUAUUUACAUAGAUAUUACGUAACGCCGAUCGAUAACUCGUCCCGUAUCAAGCGAAUUAACUGACAUAAGAAAGAGGGUAACUAACAAAAAGUAACAUUUACGUAAGAGCUCGCGACUCGUACAUAUCUAUACGUAUAUACAUACAUACAUAUUUACACACACACACAGACACACACACAUUCCCCCACUUUUUUUCUCGUCCCGCAAUCACUCAUCGAUAUUUAACCGGUGGGAGUGAAUAUAGGUAUAUAAGUAUUUAAAUACAUAUCUAAUUCGAAACCAGCGCGUAUUAUUAUAAAUUGCUAGACGACACGAAAUGACAAAUGAAACGAGACGAAUUACGACGCUAUACGACGCUAUACGACGCUAUAUGAAUUCUUGAAAAUAUCCUCUAUCGGUUAUCGCCAUUUUGUUUCUCUUUGUUUCAUGUGCGGAAAAAAAAAACAGAAAAACAAAAGAAAAAAGUUAUUUACUGUUAAAAUUAUUAAAAAAGAAAUUUCACGAUUUCGUUCGUGAAAUAUUUUUGAAAUAACGAAAUAUGAAACAUCUUACUUACGGUUUAAUCGGAAGUUUCAAUGAUAUGGAAUAUUUACUUAUGAAACACCUUGUAUUAUUUUCCUUUAAAAAAAAAAAAAUAUAUAUAUAUAUAUAUAUAUAUAUAGUAAAAGGAUAAUAUCUUAGAUGACUCUGAGAGAAGUUGAGAACUUGUUCUUUCUUCCGCGAAUAUCAUUACUUUCAACGCGAAGAACACGUGCUUCGAAUGUUUUCUGCUAUAUGGCAUUGUCGAGAAGUUGACAUGUGGGCCACACGACUACGACUACGACUACGACAACGAGGACAACAACAAUAACGACAAUGACAACGGCAACGACAACAACAUCAACGUUAUAGAGAAACGUACGAGGACGCUGAAAGAGUGAGUGAGAAAGAGAUACAUAUACAUAGAAAGAGUGAGUGAGAAAGAAGUAGAUAUACAUAGAAAGAGAGAGAGAGAGAGAGAAAAGCUUGGCUUUAUCGUGAGCCAAUCCGAGCUGUGACCUUGAGGAGCUCUAGAAAGAGAGAUAUAUUUAGUCGUGAGCGGAUCGAGCUGGCUGCUGCCAUAGCCUGCUAGCACUCUUGCAUUAAUGUGUGCGUGUUGUAUGUGUAUGUGUAUGCGAUGUGUAACUGAGCUAUGUGAGCUGUGCCAUAAACGUAGAACACAGAACGUAGAACGUAGAACCUUGCUGCUAAACGUGGAUAAUAACUUUGGAACAACCGCUAUACGUGUUUUUCAGAAGACACGCUUCCGUGAAUACGGGAUAUAUGUACUAUACGUGACACCUGAGAUAUAAAGAUGUGUAGUUACGUGCGCAUAUAUAUAUAUAUAUAUGUACAUGUAUAUGAAUAUGUGAUACACGCUCGACGUAGAAAGGAGAACGGAGGAACGAGUGGGUGUGAGUUUCCGUUUAACCCUUUACACACGCGUUACACAUGAUAUGGCACGCGGUGAAGUGAGUCCCACGGAAGAGAAACGACGACAACGACGACGACGACGACGACGACGAUGAUGAUGAUGAUGACGAUGACGACGAUGGAUGUAGGGGCGGGUUUUUUAAAACCUCAUUCACGUAACACGAAAAGAUAUUUUAAUUAAAAUCUUUUUUAUUUCGAACCGCAAAUACAAAAAAUUUUUCAAAAUAAAUUAAUUCG